UCUUAUUUAAAUAAAGCUCAUCUCACAAGUAUUUUCCCCAUAAGCCACACGCAACCUCCUUGCACUUCGGAGCGCUGGACAGCACAUCGGCACCACACCUGGGGGCCAUUUUAAACAGUGAAAUCAACAGGAAGCACAAGAAUGUGAAAAACGUGGCACCAAACAGACUGGGAAAAGGACACCUGUUUGCAGCACAAGAGCCGAAACAGGAAGGCAAUGCACCACGCAGGUCAACCUCAGCCGGGGACGCGUGUGGGGCAAAUCAAAUGUUCCACUGCUCUGUGCACGUCCGCCAAUGACUUCGAAAGUGCCGCGAGUAUGGACUUGGGGGUUGCAAAUAAAUUUGAGAGAGUAGGAGACUUUGCAAACAUGGAAUCCGUGAAUCAUGAGGCCCGACUUAUAUUCACGGCUGGUUGUUGGCAUCAAGACAAUCUGGAAGGAUCCAAGAAACCGGAACUUCUCCCUGGAGAGACACAAAUGGCAGGCAGUUUCCUCACAGAAAUGCCGAGACCGCUGUCCUGGAGUCAGAAGACCAGAGUUCAAAUCCUAAGCUCCCAUUGGCAAAUUAGCAGAUUGGUGCUCAGGGGCAGAAGCUGCCAGAAGUGGACACGAUAAGGAAGAGAGAAACACUGUAUGAACCAUCCCCUGGAAAACCUCCGCAGUCUGGGGCCCUCUGGUGCAGGGACUAACAACCGUAUUUACCCCACUACCCACUACAUCCCGGUUCAUUCACCUUCAUCCCUAAUGAAGAUGGGGAGACGCCAUGGAAAGCCUCAUCUUGCGUUAAAAAAAAUUUUUUUUUAAAUGUUUGUUUAUUUUUGAGAGAGAGAGAGACAGAGUGCGAGCAGGGGAGGGGCAGAAAGAGAGGGAGACACAGAAUCUGAAGCAGGCUCCAGGCUCUGAGCUGUCAGCACAGAGCCCGACACAGGGCUCGAAUCCACAAACUAAGCCUCACCUUGCGUUUUAGCACGUCAUGCACUAGGCAGAGAAAUAAACUGAAGAAUGUAAUUGC